UACGUAGGGUGCAAGCGUUGUCCGGAAUUAUUGGGCGUAAAGAGCUCGUAGGCGGUCUGUCGCGUCGGCUGUGAAAUCCCGAGGCUCAACCUCGGGUCUGCAGUCGAUACGGGCAAACUGGAGUGUUGCAGGGGAGACUGGAAUUCCUGGUGUAGCGGUGAAAUGCGCAGAUAUCAGGAGGAACACCGGUGGCGAAGGCGGGUCUCUGGGCAACAACUGACGCUGGAGGAGCGAAAGCGUGGGGAGCGAACAGG
rnacentral:rRNA from 1 species